AAAAUUAUGAAAAAUGAAUUAAAAAACAUAUAUGUUUGUGUGUAUAUAGAUAAAUUCUUAAUAAAAUCCUAGGUCUCUCAAUAAAAAUACGAUAAGACCUGUGUAAAUAUGUGCUAUAUACACAGUUUCGUGUCAAUUUUUUUUGUAUUCUUUAUUUUUCUUGUUCAUUUUACAUCUAGCUGAACAAUGAUUACGCGCUUUUAUUGUUCAAUUUGUAUAUAAUAUACAUGUAUAUAUGUCUAUGUAUAUGGAUGUAUGUCUUACGCUAGUUCUUUAAUUCACAUUGAAAUUUUUAUUAAACUCGUACAGCAACAUUUUGAUUUUCAAUAAUAAAAGUUUGUUUUUAUUUUUGCUUACAUAAAAAGAAGAAAACAUAAUAUAAGAACAAGAACAAGAACGAGAACAACGUAAUAAUAUAACGGUGUCGUGACAUACUUUUGAUUAAAAACAAAAAUAAAAUGUCUGAGUAUAAAAUUAGUAGUUCUUACUUCGCAAGCAAAAAUAAAAUAUUGUUAUUAAUAUGCGUAUUUUUUUUCUCUUGUUCUAGUCAUAUAUUUAAAAAUAUAUUUCCAUUUUUAUAUAUGUUAACUGGAUCAUGUAGUAAUAAUAGUGAUAGUAACAUUAACAUCAAUAGUACUAUUAUUGAUACUAAUGGAUAUAAAAUUGUGACGCCAGGUCAAGAAACUUUUUUUUCCAAUUAUAAUUUUUCUCAUUAUUACCUACACGAAUUGAAACAGAAAGAUAAGGAAACAAAUAAAAAAAAAAUUUUAAACGAUGAAAAAUAUGUUGUAGAAAAAAUAUAUAACAAAGGGACCGAAGGCGGGGAUAAGACAAGUAGCUAUUUUAUCCAAAAUAGAGAUAUAAAUAAUAUAGAUGAUAUAAGCAAUAGUAAAGAUGAAGAUAACAACAGAUUUUGUAAUGACAUAAAAAAGCACCCUGUACAACAUUAUAGUAAUGUAUUAUCAUUAAUAUAUACCAGUUCUCUAAUGACAUAUAUUUUUAUUUUAUUCUUCGACCUAAGUCAAAAAAAUUACAUUUUAAAUAGUUUUUAUAUAACCAAUUUAAUAUCUCAUGCAAUUAUUUUUUUAAUUCUAAACGAUAUACAAAUUUACAACACAAAUAAAUAUGAGGAUGAUCACUUUGGAAAAUAUAAUGGCAUGCUUAAUAAAAUUGUUAAUGACGAAAGUGGAAGUAGUAACAGCCAUAGGGAGAGUAACAAUAACAAGAGUGUUUCAACAGGCACUAAUACAUAUAAUAAACAUAAUAGUAAUGAGCAGAAUAAUAAAUACGCGUAUGGCUAUUUCGAAUAUAAUAAAAAUAUAAUGAAUGAAUCAGAUUUUGAAAUGAAAAAGAAAAAAAUAAAUUAUAUUUUUAAAAGACAUUUACAAAGUAAUUUAAGUUUUAAAUUUUUAUUUUUAACUGACCAUUAUGUAAAAUCAAACUACUUAUUUUUUUUUGAAAAUUUUUUGGACAUAAUAAAUUUUAAAAACAGUGAUAAGAAUGAAAUUGAUUCAACUUCAUUUAUACAACAAAAAAAAAAUAAGAGGCAUAUUAAUUCAUUAACACAUAAAGUAAAUGGAAAUAUAGAGUAUAUUACAACUGGGGUUGGGGACAUAAAUACUAGUUACGAAAAUACGUACGAAACGACUGAAUAUAUGAAUAUCAAUAACCUUAACAGUAGUAAUCGUAAUAAUGAAUAUAUUAACAAUGUAACACAACAAAUUAACAGUAUCAAAAACGGUGAUAGAAAGGGUAUCAAAAACGGAAAUGAAAAGGGUAUCAAAAGCGGAAAUGGAAAGGGUAUCAAAAACGGAAAUGGAAACAAUAAGAAUGAGAAAGCUCAUUUUAAACUGCUAUAUAUGUUCAUAAUAAUAAGUUCCAUAUGUAGCGGAUAUAUAAAAAUAUAUCAAAAAAAAGUAUUAUAUUGUAUAUUCUAUGUACAUAUAGGAAUAAUCACAUCAUUAUUAAUAUUAAUGAAUAGUUUGUUUAAAUUGCUAGCACAUUCAAUUAAUUAUUUAGUGACGAAUAAUUACGAUACUAACAUUAGUAAUUAUAUUAUUAUGUUUUUAUUUAUAGAUAUAUUUGGAUUAAUGUUGAUAUUAAUUUUUUCAUACCGAUGGUAUAAACAAAAAAUAUUAUGGCUAAAUUUACAUACUAUUUUUUAUAAUUUUAAAUAUAUUUGUUUUUAUUUCAAGAAAACUUAUUAUUUAUAUGCUGAUAAUAAAGACAUUGAUAAUAUGCUUGUUCAAAUCGAUUUAUGUAAUGACAAAAAUAUAGACAUACGUUUUAGUGCUUAUAUGCAUAUUGAAAAGUCCAUUUUUUAUGACUACUUUUUGGCCAAUAAAUUUAAAAAAAAUCAAUUAAACGUGAUAGAAAUUACUGAUAAAAAUUUUGAAUUCACUGACACUUAUAAGAUUAAUAACAUUGUUAAAAUUGAUGAAGGAAGUACAAACAUAUAUAAGGAAGUAAAUACGGGCACGGACAUGGGUACGUGUACAGAUGCAUGCACUGAUGCUUACGCAGAUGUAAAUAAGAAUAAGCUAAGAAACACGAAAGAUGAAUCAAGUAUACACCAAACUUAUAAUAGAAAAGGAAAACAUAGUUAUACUAUGAAGCCAUAUAAAAUAUGUAUACAAAGCUUAAACGAGUUUAAUAUGUUAGAGCAUGGUAUGCCUGAACAAUCAGAAACGGAUACACAUGAUAUGUGCAUAACAAACCAUAACACGGAGAAGGAUGCAUUUGAUGCUAAUAGUGGUAGUAAUAAAAAUGGUGUUAGUAACGCUAAUGGCGACAUUGGUAAUAGUAAAAUCGGUGAUAAAAGAAGUAAUAAAAAAAUCGUUUUUAACGAAAAUGAAUAUAUAAAUGAUACAAAAAAAAAAAACGAAACACGAAACUCUUUACAUACCGAUAUAAAUGAUAGUGAUAUGUACUCUUAUAUAAAUAUAGAUGAUUGUAAUGACCAUAUGUCCACAUUAGCAAAAUCUAAUAUAUCAAAGCCAAUAAAUAUAAUAGAUAAAUGUCAAAAAAAAAUAUCAAAUGAAAAAACACCCCAAAAAAAAAACGUCAAAAUGCAGGAAGAAAUAGAAGAGCUUAAAUAUAACGAUGGUGAAUUUUUUGUUUAUUCAAAAGAAAAAGAGUCAGAAGAUAAAAAAAACAUUUACUUUGAUCAUCCUUCUUCUUUUGGUUAUUCUUCUUCUCAUUUCAUUUCUGGUAACUGUCACUUGGAUAAACAAAAUAGUAAUUUAUCCAAAUGUGGAAAAAAAAAAAAUUUGUGUUUAAUAAAUGAAAAAAAAUCAUCUAAAGUUAAUGAUGAUUCAGAAACAUUAACAAAUAUACAUUUUCAAACAGUAACAAAUUUGAAUGGUCAUAACGAAUUAAAAAUAAAUGUCGAAUGUGAUGAUCUUUUGUCACAAAAAGACAGUACAGUGGAAGUUUAUGCGAAAGUUGGAGAGUGUACGCAAAUUGAGGAACAUACGCAAAUUGAGGAACAUACGCAAAUUGAGGAACAUAAGCAAAUUGAGGAACAUAAGCAAAUUGAGGAACAUAAGCAAAUUGAGGAACAUAAGCAAAUUGAGGAGCAUAUACAAAUUGAAGAACGUGUAAGUAAUAAGAAUGAAAUGGAUAAAGAAAAAAAAAAAUUCUUGGUACCAAUUGAUUAUGACGCGUAUGAUAAAUAUUUAGACGAAGAUGACGAUAGUAAUUCAGAUACUCCACACGAGAAUGAUAAUGAUGAUAACAAUAAUAUUAACUACAACUAUAGCCAUAAUUAUAAUAAUGAAAGAUAUUUAUUUUUAAAUAAACUUCAAGAAAGAAAUAAUAUUAGAAACGGUUGUAAAAUGUUUCAAAAAUUGCGAAAUUUCUUAUCUUCUUUUACUUUUUAUUUCUUUUUUUUUAUUUUUAUAUAUGCAUUUUUAUUAUCAGUUAUGCAUAUAUUUAUUAACUAUUUUUUUUACAUAUAUUUGUUUGUAUUUGAUAUAAAUAUCUAUGUUUCAAAUAUUUAUACAAUAGCUGUGACAUUUGUUUCUCUUUUAGCAAUACCUUUUUCUGGUUAUAUACUUGAUAAUAUAAACAACUUUUUGUCUCUUCUUUUGUGCUCCUCAUUUUUUAUUCUGACAGCAAUAUUAGGGUCCAUAUAUUGUUAUAUAAACAACAUAGGUUAGCGUUUUGUUUCUAUUACAGUGUUUUUUUGUCUAGCUAUUUAUACUACACAAACACUUUAGCUCAUAUAUGUUAGUGCAUAUGUUUAUACCGAUUCAUUUGCGUAUGUACAUGUUUUUU
ensembl:lncRNA